CCCUUAGAUGUUCUGGGCUGCACGCGUGCUACAAUGGCGCUUGCAACAAGAUUGCCAACCCGAAAGGGCGAGCGGAUCUUUGAAGUGGCGUCGUGAUCGGGACAGUUGAUUGCAAUUAUUCGACUCGAACGAGGAAUUCCUUGUAAUCGCGAUUCAUCAUAUCGCGCUGAAUACGUCCCUGCCCUUUGUACACACCGCCCGUCGCUCCUACCGAUUGAGCGAUCCGGUGAAUGUUUUGGACUGGUGUCCGCAAGCGUUUCGCUUCGGACGCUACGAAAUUUUGUAAACCUUAUCGCUUAGAGGAAGGAAAAGUCGUAACA
rnacentral:rRNA from 1 species